UACGUAGGGGGCAAGCGUUGUCCGGAAUCAUUGGGCGUAAAGCGCGUGUAGGCGGUCCGGUAAGUCCGCUGUGAAAGUCGGGGGCUCAACCCUCGGAUGCCGGUGGAUACUGUCGGGCUUGAGUACGGAAGAGGCGAGUGGAAUUCCUGGUGUAGCGGUGAAAUGCGCAGAUAUCAGGAGGAACACCGAUGGCGAAGGCAGCUCGCUGGGACGGUACUGACGCUGAGGCGCGAAAGCGUGGGGAGCGAACAGG
rnacentral:rRNA from 1 species